rfam:Blumeria graminis f. sp. tritici 96224 unplaced genomic scaffold Scaffold-58, whole genome shotgun sequence.
GGCAACGUGGCGGAGUGGUUAUCGCGCUAGCCUAGAAUCGGAUGCCCUGAUUAGCUAGUUCCUUCGGGAGCGUCAGUUCGAGUCUGGCCGUUGUCG